rnacentral:rRNA from 1 species
CCUACGGGGGACAGCAGUGAGGAAUAUUGGUCAAUGGGCGCGAGCCUGAACCAGCCAAGUAGCGUGAAGGAUGACUGCCCUACGGGUUGUAAACUUCUUUUAUCAAGAAAUAAAGUGAGGCACGUGUGCCUUUUUGUAUGUACUUUAUCAAUAAGGAUCGGCCAACUCCGUGCCAGCAGCCGCGGUAAUACGGAGGAUCCGAGCGUUAUCCGGAUUUAUUGGGUUUAAAGGGAGCGUAGAUGGGUUGUUAAGUCAGUUGUGAAAGUUUGCGGCUUAACCGUAAAAUUGCAUUUGAUACUGGCAGCCUAGAGUACAGUUGAGGUAGGCGGAAUUCGUGGUGUAGCGGUGAAAUGCUUAGAGAUCACGAAGAACACCGAUUGCGAAGGCAGCUUACUAAAC